GCAGACACAUUCCAGCCAAUCAGCAGCAGACCCUCCCUCCCAGACCCUCCCACCUCCUGGACAGCAUCCAUUUUACAUUCGUUGUGAAGCUGCAUUCUUAGUGAGCUGUCCAGGAGGUGGGAGGGUCUGGGAGGGAGGGUCUGCUGCUGAUUGGCUGGAAUGUGUCU